rnacentral:rRNA from 1 species
AGCGAACGCUGGCGGCAGGCUUAACACAUGCAAGUCGAGCGCCCCGCAAGGGGAGCGGCAGACGGGUGAGUAACGCGUGGGGAUGUACCCAAAGGUACGGAACAACUCCGGGAAACUGGAGCUAAUACCGUAUGUGCCCGAGAGGGGAAAGAUUUAUCGCCUUUGGAUCAACCCGCGUCAGAUUAGCUAGUUGGUAGGGUAAUGGCCUACCAAGGCGACGAUCUGUAGCUGGUCUGAGAGGAUGAUCAGCCACACUGGGACUGAGACACGGCCCAGACUCCUACGGGAGGCAGCAGUGGGGAAUAUUGGACAAUGGGCGCAAGCCUGAUCCAGCCAUGCCGCGUGAGUGAUGACGGCCUUAGGGUUGUAAAGCUCUUUCGACGGGGACGAUAAUGACGGUACCCGUAGAAGAAGCCCCGGCUAACUUCGUG